AAUAACACAGGAACAGUGGUGUCUUAAAUUGUCACUUUUUGUUGUAAUAGAAACUAAAAUAGACAUCCUGAAAAUUUAUUUUAAAAAAUCUACAUGCAAUUUACAAUAAAAACUACUUUUUUCAUUCUCACUACUGCCAGUACUGAUAGACAGCAUGCUGGUAACCUUCUAAAUAAAUGAAAAAUUCUUUGUUUAUAUUUUUCAGGACAACCUCCAGCAGUAAGAGAUAUAAAGGUUCACUGCAGUUUUGACUACAGUAUGCUCAGCAAGUAUUGUACACAUAAUAAGCAAGUGGAGUUGCUGUGAAUUCUCAUGCAGGCUCUCAGAUUUUCUACCUAGUGUAUGAAAAGUACAGUACUGCUUUUGGAAGAGGAGCAAACAGUGUGGUAUCUAUGGUCCACCGUCACUUCAAGCAUCAUGGCUAUGGAGAAAAGAAUGUUUCAUUACAUAUGGACAAUUAUAGUGGACAAAAUAAGAAAAGUGUUGUAAUAAGCUAUGGAAUGUGGCUUGUUAUGAUGGGUCUACAUGAUGACAUGGAGUACAACCUGAUGGAGGCCAGGCAUACAGAAUUCAGUCCUGAACAUGUUUAGAAUGUCUUCUGCAUGACCUGGUAUAUUAUUGUUGAAGGAUUACAACUUCAGCCCAGAGAUGGAGAUUAAUAUUUUAGGCAGGGGUUGUCAUGACAACCGUAUUACCAUUCCUGAGCUGGAUGCCUUUCGACAGUGGUAGCGCCCCUUCGCAGCAACAGCAGCGUAUGCUCAAAACCAGCAAUGCCAAAGCCAUUAAAACUGAGAGCUCAGUCAUUUAAAACAAAGAAUGAAUGGAAAAAAGUGUUUAACAUUUAAAGUAAUACAGAAAAAGAGCUCAGCUCAUUUGGUAUUUUCUGAAAUUUUAAUUAAUUUGAAAGUGUUUUUGAUUUUUAAAUGAUGUACUAGACCCAAAUUCCAUACAUUUGAAUAUGAACAAAUGCUACAUAUAGUUUAUGUUAACAUUGAAUUAACAAGUUUAUGGUGUCAGCAGUACAAUGUAUUGGUUAAAUAUAGACACACUGUAUGUAUGUAAGGCUGAACACAGUAUAAAUGUGAAAAUCCUUUAAAACACUGGAAGAUUUUUCAACAAUCUACUGUUUAGUACUGCAUGACAUAAAAUCAUGAGUGUAGCUCUACAUACACAGUUGAUUUAUAAUAAGCAAAGUUUAAUGUAUUUAUUGAUGAUUUUCUACAUUUGAAGUAAUUACCUUAAUAUUAAAUAUUUUAGUGAAGAUAUAUUUUAUGCAACUAUGUAAGUUGAAAAAAGCUACCCUCCAGGAAGAAUAUUUUGAAAUGAUACUUUUACUUGAAAAUUUAUGUAAAAUAUGAAGGAAAUAAAAUGAAUUCUCUAUUUUAUAAAAAAUGUUGUUGCCAUGGAAACAGAA